AAGUCGUAACAAGGUUUCCGUAGGUGAACCUGCGGAAGGAUCAUUAUCGAGUAAACUGAGGGAAUGUUGUGCUGGCUUUUCGCAAGUGCACGCUUUUCCGAAAUCUACUACACCUGUGCACUUUUGACCUUGGAAGCCCUUGGGCGGAUGAGGUAUCUUACACCCUUUUGCAAGUAUGUGAUUGUUGGUUACUAUAAUAAAUAAAAACAACUUUCAACAACGGAUCUCUUGGCUCUC
rnacentral:misc_RNA from 1 species